ACAAGAACCAUUACCACUGUCCACUUUAGAACUGAUAUCAACGGUUUAGCUGCAUCUGCCUGGUGGUAUUAGGACAGAUGCAAUCAAUCUAAUGAUGCCGUCAUGGCCAAUUUGGCAGCAACACCUCUGUUCCCCGUGGGGAGUUGUGUCUGGUCUGCCACCAUCACAGCACACAGAACAGAAACAUAACGACCCAUCACUCAGCUCACCUUUCACCUCUGAGGAGCUGCCAAACCACACAAGAGUGGACGUUGUGCCCCGAGACCAGAUAAGAGAUGAAAAGGUAUAUAACCUGAGCUAAUGAAUUGAGUUCUCCUCAAGAUAAAAGGCUAUCUAAAGCCAUCUCACUCUUCUGCUUCACCCAAGCCUGAGCAUGUUCCUACGUCUGUGUAAAAAUCUGCUGAUCACUAUGUUUGUCCAGUUUUAACUUAAGUUAUGUAGAUAUAAACUGAUCUUAUCGUUGUUUUAGCCAUAUGUCAGGUGCUAGAAGCCAGGCUGAGUAGAAAUGUAAAGGAGAUCAGAAAAACUCUUAAUGCAGUAUUCAACUAGGAUUUUAUAAAAUGAAAUGUCUUAUGAAGCUUUUUUUGCAUCUGUUCAGAGCCUGGCAGAUAUGAAGACUGCCUCCCUCAGUGUGGGAAUAAGUCUCUCCGCUGACUUGCACGCCUUGUCUCGCCGUGCAGCAUGCGGUGAUGUCAUGGGAGGCGUUCCCUUUCUUUACGAGUGCAGCUCUGUGAUCUCUGGUGGAGAUCAAUUAGCUGAGCAAUCAGCCCGCCCUGUGCUUUUGUGGUUGGGAGCAGUCCAGGGGAGGCGGGAGUGGGCGUAGUCCCGGUUCAGUUUGCUGGAACGGGUGCCGUGUAAUUGCAACAAUCUCGCCUGGGAUCUUUGUUGCAUGUCGCCCGUUUUCUAUCACCCAUUUGUGCUGUCUUUCUAUACUCCACAUUUGCUAAUUAAAGCAGCAAUGCAGUGAAAAAAAUGGGAAUAAAUAGCAGCAAAUGGGACAAAGAGCGACACAAAGAAGAGAGGAAAAGACGAGCAUGUAUUCUAGUGUCGGCUGUUAGCUGGUUUUUAUUUCGCUUUUCCUCAGAUGUCCAGGCCUGUUCUCAGGGCCUCUCUUACACCUGAUCCUCCCCGCAUCGGAGGUCAUGUGUUUAAAUGUAAUGUUUAGCCAUAUCUUAAAUUUAGUCAUUUUAUCAAAUGUGAGGUUUGUUUCCUGAGCGACCACUGGAGGAAACAAGACUGGACUUAAAAUGACCAAUUAAAGCAUAAAGCUGAUGGAUUGGUGGAGGAACUUCCUGCUGUCACUGGUUGGCAGGAGCUCGGGGCGUUGACUGGGGAAUACUUCCUCUUAGUUUGCGUGUGGUGUGUGUAUGUGUGUGCGUGCAUACAGACAUGCAACUGCGUCAGCAAUUACAUGUGCCUGCUGUGACUGUUGUUAAAAUAUUCUCUUGAGUAAUAAUCUCAGAAAAGUUUAUUAUUUUCUAAUGUAUCUGUGUGUUUGUGUUUGAUGCCUUGUUUAUUUUCAUUGAUGAACUGGAGUGCUCUCACAGUGUAGGUGUGGAAACAGGCUGACCGUGAGUGCUGCUCCUUUCCUUCCUCAAGUUUAUUUCCUCAAGUUUGUGGGAGAGGUGAUGAAAAGGUCCACGUUCAUUAAGCUCAAAAAGCAAAUUCUGUUCCCUCUGUUCUGUUUCUAAAGGAAGUUUUUACUGUAUGUGGAUAGAUGCACUGCACGGAUAUAAAAAAGGUUUUAAAGCACUGGUUCGGUUUUUCUUUUUCAGACUAGUGCAGCUGAUUGGGACUUAUUGUUUUAAAGAAUCUUCUUGAUGCACAAAAUUGAAUCUUUAGUUAUCCAUUUCUUUAUGUACAUUUUCAUUUAUCCGACCCAAAAAAUAAGGAGUGUACUAUAUAUUCAUACCCCCGUUAUCUGAGAAACACUUCCUCUGCAGGUAUCAUUGCCAGGAUCCUCAACAUUUUCUAUCACAUAUACAAGUUUACUCACAAGUUCAGUUGGUGGAAAAGAUGGUAUGGCAGAUGACAGAUAUGACAUUAAAUUUGUAAGCAGUGAGGCCUUUAGUGGCACCAUAUUGUUUCUGUACCUAUUCUACCCUUUGAACCAAAUUGUCUAAUUUACUGUAAAAUCCUUACUCCUUGGGUUUUAUGAGUAAUUUGGAUAACAGGGAUUUUGGUUUGAGUGUUGAUACAAUUGGGAGACAUCUGAAAAUCAUGCACCGUAAUCACCAACUUGAGGCUAACCUGAAUCGUUUGCUCCAGCUGGGAGCUUGUAUUUACAGUAAACCUGAAUGCAGCAUAAUUGAGCUUGUGGUCGGAGGGGGCGUUCUCCAGACUAAACCUGUACGAAACAUCUAAACAGGACCAGGUUGCUGUGGGACUUUGCUGGCCAGUGUUAGGUUGAGGUCCAAAUCUUCCCCACAGAGCAGGGAGGUUAUUUUAACACUCUGGCACGUGCAUUCUCCACUGCGUCCCCCCUUGCUGAGGGAAUAAGGGAGAUAGAGGCAGGAAGCCGCUAGGUUGUAAAUCAUAAAGCUGAGGUGACAAUCCAUCGUUCUUGUGGUAUUUUUAUUGUGCUUUUCUCCAAGGGCCUAUUUAUAACAAGCCACAUCCCCAAUGACAAAAAUGUCUCUCCCGUGUGUUUUUAGAUUGCAUCAAAACAUUUAACCCUAUAUCUCACUGAGUGCAGUUGUUUUCCUAUUUUUAUUCAGUUCAUGGAGACGUUCACUGAGUCCUUGCACAAACAUGGUGUGUGCUCUCUACACAAGUCCAAGCAAGUGUUCAAUUUAUAAUGUGACACCAGCUCACCUUAGGAAAAAGGGCACAGCCUGAACACUGUGGUCACAUUGUCUCCGUAUAGGAAGGAAAAAGUUAGGGAAUUAAUGGUUAAUGAUUGUUUUUAUGGAAACACUGAGAGGUCAUUGUAAAGGUUUUCUUACUACUUCAUUCAUUUUUAUCCCAAAGUUUGUUCUGGUUGCUAGGUGGCUUCCAGGACAUGGUACUGAGCUGAAGAGGAAAAGGCUUGGUUCUUCCUGAAGCACGGCAGUUAGAACACAGGAACCCGGUGAACCUUAAACUACAGUAGUAAUGAAUAAAACAAAUGCUAUGCUAUGAGCUAUCCAAUGUGUGGGGCCUCUGCUGUCAGUCAAAGCCAUGUGACUGAGAUGUUUGGACUGUUGCAUCAGUUUCAUUCACAAUAGAAAUAGCAUAAAUAUUUAUACUGUUUACUGUAGGGGCACUCCACUAA